UUGACCUCGGAUCAGGCAGGGAUACCCGCUGAACUUAAGCAUAUCAAUAAGCGGAGGAAAAGAAACCAACAGGGAUUGCCUCAGUAACGGCGAGUGAAGCGGCAACAGCUCAAAUUUGAAAUCUGGCUCUUUUAGGGUCCGAGUUGUAAUUUGUAGAGGAUGCUUCGGCGUGGGCUCCGGUCUAAGUUCCUUGGAACAGGACGUCAUAGAGGGUGAGAAUCCCGUAUGUGAUCGGUUGCCUUUGCCAUGUGAAGCUCCUUCGACGAGUCGAGUUGUUUGGGAAUGCAGCUCUAAAUGGGAGGUAAAUUUCUUCUAAAGCUAAAUACUGGCCAGAGACCGAUAGCGCACAAGUAGAGUGAUCGAAAGAUGAUAAGCACUUUGGAAAGAGAGUCAAAAAGUACGUGAAUUUGUUGAAAGGGAAA
rnacentral:rRNA from 1 species